GACGAACGCUGGCGGCGUGCUUAACACAUGCAAGUCGAACGGAAAGGCCCUGCUUUUGUGGUGUGCUCGAGUGGCGAACGGGUGAGUAACACGUGAGUAACCUGCCCUUGACUUUGGGAUAACUUCAGGAAACUGGGGCUAAUACCGGAUAGGAGCUCCUGCUGCGUGGUGGGGGUUGGAAAGUUUCGGCGGUUGGGGAUGGACUCGCGGCUUAUCAGCUUGUUGGUGGGGUAGUGGCUUACCAAGGCUUUGACGGGUAGCCGGCCUGAGAGGGUGACCGGCCACAUUGGGACUGAGAUACGGCCCAGACUCCUACGGGAGGCAGCAGUGGGGAAUAUUGCACAAUGGGCGGAAGCCUGAUGCAGCAACGCCGCGUGCGGGAUGACGGCCUUCGGGUUGUAAACCGCUUUCGCCUGUGACGAAGCGUGAGUGACGGUAAUGGGUAAAGAAGCACCGGCUAACUACGUG
rnacentral:rRNA from 1 species